GGCGAACCGAGAUCGCAGAGGUGUUGACGGUGACAUCGACGUGGCUCUUGAAAUAAAUUCACUACACGACAUGGAGACAAGAAUGAAUAAUGUCAACGAAGAGUAAACGCUU